rnacentral:rRNA from 1 species
AUAUCAGUAAGCGGAGGAAAAGAAACUAACAAGGAUUCCCUCAGUAAUGGCGAAUGAACCGGGAGGAGCUCAAAUUUAAAAUCUGGCUGGUUUCCAGUCCGAGUUGUAGUCUGCAGAAACGCGGUCGAGCGCGGCGGCUGGCACAAGUUCCUUGGAACAGGACAUCGGAGAGGGUGAGAAUCCCGUCUGUGUCUUCUGCUGGCGCGACACGAUGCGUUUUCAAAGAGUCGGGUUGCUUGGGAAUGCAGCUCAAAAUGGGUGGUAAAUUUCAUCUAAGGCUAAAUAUUGGCAAGAGACCGAUAGCGAACAAGUACCGUGAGGGAAAGAUGAAAAGGACUUUGAAAAGAGAGUUAAAUAGUACGUGAAAUUGUUAAAAGGGAAGCGCUUGGGAUCAGUGUUGUGUGUGCGAGCUCAGCGGCAAUGCAAUGCGCUGCAAUGCGGCGUGUUGGUUGCUGUGCAUUCUCGAGCACGCAAGUCAGGAUCGGUUCUGUGCGGCGGACAAGGGGAAGAGGAAGGUGGCCACUGCCUCGGCUUUGGUUUUAUAGACUCUUUCUGAUGCGCCGUGCGGGACCGAGGACCGCAGCGUCGAAAGCAGGUCGACUUGGCCUA